GAUUAACUACACCUGGCUCAAACCUGAAUUUCGGUUAAAGAAAAUAUACAGAUCUGGUUUCUGAGAU
rnacentral:snoRNA from 1 species